rnacentral:snRNA from 1 species
AUACUUACCUGGCAGGGGAGACACCGUGGUCAGGCAGGUGGUCCUCCCAGGGUGAGGCUCAUCCCCUGCAUUCUGGGUGUGCUGACGCCUGCAAUUUCCCCCAGGAUGGGAAACUGGACUGCACCAUUUGUGGUAGUGGGGGACUGCAUUUGUGCUCUCCCAUU